AACGAACGCUGGCGGCAUGCCUAACACAUGCAAGUCGAACGAAGCCUUCGGGCUUAGUGGCGCACGGGUGCGUAACGCGUGGGAAUCUACCCUCUGGUACGGAAUAACUCAGGGAAACUU
rnacentral:rRNA from 1 species